UACGAAGGGGGCUAGCGUUGCUCGGAAUCACUGGGCGUAAAGCGCACGUAGGCGGAUCUUUAAGUCAGGGGUGAAAUCCUGGAGCUCAACUCCAGAACUGCCUUUGAUACUGGGGAUCUCGAGUCCGGGAGAGGUGAGUGGAACUGCGAGUGUAGAGGUGAAAUGCGCAGAUAUCGGGAGGAACACCAAUGGCGAAGGCAGCUGACUGGGACGUGACUGACGCUGAGACGCGAAAGCGUGGGGAGCAAACAGG
rnacentral:rRNA from 1 species